rnacentral:rRNA from 1 species
AGCCAUCCUUUAAAGAAAGCGUAACAGCUCAUUGGUCUAGUUUUUUUGCGUUGAAAAUGUAAAGGGACUAAAAUUACUUGCCGAAACAGUAGAUUUGCUUUUUUAGCAAAUGGUAGCAGAACGUUCUGUAAGUCUGUAAAGAUUUAUAGUAAUAUAAAUUAGAGAUAUCAGAAGUGAUAAUGUUGGUAUGAGUAGCGAUAAACAUCGUGAGAAACGAUGUCGUCUUAAAUUCAAGGUUUCCGAGUGAAAGGCUAAUCCUCCUCGGCGUUAAUCGGUCUCUAAAAGAACAAAACGAAAGUUUUGCUUGAUGAGUAAAAAGAUUUUUAAUUCUUUUUUAAUUUUAAUGUGACAAAAUACAAAUAUUAUUUUUUUUUAAUGGUAAUAAAAAAGGUUUUAUAGUGUUUUCAAGAAACAGCAUUAAAAUUGUUGAUAUAACCGUACCCUAAACCGACACAGGU